rnacentral:lncRNA from 1 species
UCCUUCUUCCUGCUCCGUUCCGCUCCGCCGUCCACUUUCAUCUCAGGGAUCUUGGGCAGGACAGGAGCCGGAACCGCCGCCACCGCCGCCGCAGUUCGUACCUACGUACGUGCCGGAUGCCUGUAAUAACUGGUUUCUGUCCCGUACGUUUCUGCUCUGUUUCUUGCUUCCUUGCAUGAUCGUGAUGCAGAGGAGGAGCCAGGAACCGUGAAACGGCGCCGUAAAUCAUGCUUGGCCACCGCCGCCUCUGAUCGGACGGACAGAGAGAGGCACCGCUGCCGCCGGAGAAGAAGAAGGAGGAGGCCGGACCUAGGGCACCGCGGCAGAUUCAAAGUCGAUCCAAACGAAAUUCCACUGUUAACCAAACUAAAAAGAAUCUGUUUAACUUGCCGGUGCAUGGUUUACAUCUUCAGGGUUUUGCUGGUAGUACUGUUUAACUUCAGGGUUCACUAGGCCGAGGAAGAUUUACAUCUUUCGAUGUUCCAAUGGACGAACAUCACAAUCAGUUCCUGCUGCUGCUGCCAGAUUGUGAGCUGUGGCUAGAUAGAUUGCAGUCCUGUCCUGUGUUUUUCGGUGCAGGCAUGCAUCCAUGUCACUGCUAACAUAAUUCACAGCUUGGACGGAACGGGAUCAUGAUAAUGACCAGGCUUCAAAACUUGCCUGAUUUGGUCUAUGCAAAUGCAGCUCCGUUUAAUUACAACGCGUAUGCUUUGUUUUGCAUCCAUCAAAACAACAAUCUUCACCACAUUCGCAGUGCACAUGCAGGCCUGAACAUCGCACUCCAAGAAUCAUUCAGAGUUGCAUCCAAUCCAACACACUGGCAAUAGGAUUUCAAGAUGAGGAGGAGCAGAGGGCCUCUUCUUCUUGCUGCCAUGGCGUUGGUGAUCCUAUCGCCGUCGCUGUGCCCCGCAGCCACUGCAUGGGGCAUCUUCUCCUCGCCUAAACCCACGAGCCAGUCCG